GCUUUCGUGGUGCAAUGGUAGCACACUGGGCGAGUAUUCGAGAGGUUCAGGUUCGAAUCCUGGCAAGGGCA
rnacentral:tRNA from 1 species